AGGAACAAAGGGCUCAUUGUCAUGCAAAUGAACGACUCCGGAGGAAGAGGGCAGUUCCUCCACUCUGGGGUGCCCCUCCUGCCCUCUAACUUCUAAGCCACACUGGAAACUGACCCCCAACCUUCAGAAGUGUGGGCAUCUCUGGGCCUCUGCUCUGGGCUAAAUGAGGCGCACUCUCUCAGCCUGGGAAACGGGCCCCUGCCAGUUCUGAGCCAGAUCCCCAGAAAACAGGACCCGCCUCGGAAGAUAGGGAUAGUAGAGGGACUUUUGGGGAUGAAACAGGAUGAUCCCCUUAACAUGCUAAGCAUGACCUUGAGCAAAGAAGCAACUGCCUUGGAAAUGCCAUUCAGUUGGUAAUACUGCAGGCCUGCAGCUGUGUGUCUUUGAGCAAGCUGCCUACCCUCUCUGUGCCUUAUCAGGAGAGGGUGACUCUGUGCCGACUUUACAAGGCUAUGGGAAGGACACAAUGAACUAAGACUCCAGUGAUCACAACCAGUCCAUGCUGAGCUGCCUCGUCACAAAGGCCCUGGUGCUGACUUCUGUUCUGAACCUCACCCAGGACUCUUCUCCACCGGGUUUCUACAAAACAUGAGAGCUCUCUGCAAAGAAGAAAAGAAAAAUGGACGGAACUCGAACUUAAAUCCAACCUUGUGGUUACAAUUACGGAGGCCCACCCAGGCCAGCACUGUGCGGGCCCCUUCAGGCUUCUCUCAGGCUCUCCCGAGACACACCGGCAGGCUGCAGUGCUACCACUGUGGUAAAGGACAAGGAAACUGAGGCUCUGUGGGAUUCCGGGACUUGCCCAAGGUCACACCAUCCUUGAGGGGUCGAGCCAGGACUGGAACCUCAGUCCGGCCACUACAACUUCAUAAAUACCAUCGCCCUGAGAUGCUGAAAUCCCAGGGGCCCCC
ensembl:lncRNA novel transcript